rnacentral:misc_RNA from 1 species
UACGUAGGUGGCAAGCGUUGCCCGGAAUUAUUGGGCGUAAAGCGCGCGUAGGUGGUUGGUUAAGUUGGAUGUGAAAGCCCACGGCUCAACCGUGGAGGGUCAUUGGAAACUGGGGGACUUGAGUGCAGAAGAGGAAAGUGGAAUUCCAUGUGUAGCGGUGAAAUGCGUAGAGAUGUGGAGGAACACCAGUGGCGAAGGCGACUUUCUGGUCUGUAACUGACGCUGAGGCGCGAAAGCGUGGGGAGCAAACAGG